rnacentral:rRNA from 1 species
GGUCCUCGGAAGAGGAUCUAUGUUUUUCACAUCACACACCAUCGUAUGUCUAUAGAAUGUAUUGAAGACUGUCCUAUGAUGGUCGAUAAUAAAUCAUACAACUUUCAGCAACGGAUCUCUUGGCUCUCGCAUCGAUGAAGAACGCAGCGAAUUGCGAUAAGUAAUGUGAAUUGCAGAUUUUCAGUGAAUCAUCGAAUCUUUGAACGCACCUUGCGCUCCUUGGUAUUCCGAGGAGCAUGCCUGUUUGAGUGUCAUUU